AUGGGUCUGUAGCUCAGUUGGUUAGAGCGCACCCCUGAUAAGGGUGAGGUCGGUGGUUCGAGUACCCUGACCCAUG
rnacentral:tRNA from 1 species